rnacentral:rRNA from 1 species
CCUACGGGAGGCAGCAGUGAGGAAUAUUGGUCAAUGGACGCAAGUCUGAACCAGCCAAGUAGCGUGCAGGAUGACUGCCCUACGGGUUGUAAACUUCUUUUGUAUGGGAAUAAAAUGUUCCACGUGUGUGAUUUUGUAAGUACUUUAUGAAUAAGGAUCGGCUAACUCCGUGCCAGCAGCCGCGGUAAUACGGAGGAUCCGAGCGUUAUCCGGAUUUAUUGGGUUUAAAGGGUGCGUAGACGGGUUGAUAAGUCAGUGGUGAAAGUUUGAGGCUCAACCUUAAAAUUGCAAUUGAUACUGGCAGGCUUGAGAACAGUUGAGGUAGGCGGAAUUUGUGGUGUAGCGGUGAAAUGCUUAGAUAUCAUGAAGAACUCCGAUUGCGAAGGCAGCUUACUAAGCUGCCACUGACAUUGAUGCUCGAAAGUGUGGGGAGCAAACAGGAUUAGAUACCCUAGUAGUC